rnacentral:lncRNA from 1 species
GUGUACAAUAGACUGGAAGAAAGGAAAAAAUGUCACAGUCAAAACAAUCAAGAAAAAACAGAAGCACAAGGGCCGGGGCACUGUACGAACCAUCACCAAGCAAGUGCCCAAUGAGUCCUUCUUCAACUUCUUCAGUCCCCUGAAAGCCUCUGGAGAUGGAGAAUCUCUGGAUGAAGAUUCCGAAUUCACCUUAGCCUCUGACUUUGAAAUUGGGCACUUUUUCCGUGAGCGCAUCGUGCCACGGGCUGUCCUCUACUUCACUGGGGAGGCCAUAGAGGAUGAUGACAAUUUUGAAGAAGGCGAGGAAGGUGAAGAGGAGGAAUUGGAAGGUGAUGAGGAAGGAGAAGAUGAGGAUGAUGCUGAUGUUAACCCCAAGGUGUAAUUUUUGUGUUAAUCAUUCAUGCGUUUCUAGAAAGAACCCAUCCAGCCAGCGGAGUGCAAGCAGCAGUGAAAAGCAGCGACCCUAUGGGGCUGCCUCGUGGACGGCUGUCAGGACCGCAGGCUGCAGGCAGGAGCCUCAGUCCCUGCCAAAGCAGAAUUUUGUUGACAGUGCUGUGACAUCUAACCAUUUCCAAGUGCAUGAUCCUCUCCCCCUUCCCUUCUUACUUUGCUAAACUUGUACAGUGAAGACUGCUGCAGUUCAGAAUAGGAGAUUUAGUUGUAGCAGCUGCAGCUUUGGUGCCUGAAGAUCGCUUGGGGUGAGCCGGGGCUGUGCCUGGGAUUGACAGCCUGGUGAUUAUGUGCACUCAGCCCUCCCCUACUGAAAAGGCCCCAUGGUUCCAGCCGCCGAACUGUGUGGGAAGCUGCUCCAGCUGCUGUGCCCUAGUCAUCUCCCAAGCACUGUAGAGGAAGCUGUGCUCGCCUUAGAGCAUUUUUUUCUUGUGUUUUGGUUUUAGGGGUGGGUGGGUUGUUGCACACACCUCUGAGGCCAGAGCUGUCGGGUUCACCCUUGUACUUAUUUAUUUAGUUGUGCUUGGGGGGCUUUGAACUUCACUGUCCUCCUCCCACUUAGGAGACCACGCUGUUGACUUGAUCAGGAGAAUGUGACACCAAGUGGAGUGAGGCCCAUGGAGGAAUUCCUGCUGCUUCCUGCCACCAGCUGCUCUGUGCCAUGCAGAACACAUGUUGUUAUAGCUGCUGGAAGUCGGCAGGCUGUAGCCUGGGGGCAGAAGUUCUCCCUCAGUAGGAUCUCUGGCCUGUAGAGCACAGCUUCAGCUUGUACUGUGCACACCAGGGCCACACCUGGGAUUGGUGACCAGUUGGUGGUUAGUGUGGGGGGGGGGGGUGUUUCCGAGUGUGUGGUUGUGUCUCUGGUAGCCAGGACAGCCAUGUCCACAGUGACCAGCCAUGUAGAGCGUGCUCAGCCUUACCCAAUAACACAUUUGUAACUGAAUACGGUGUUUUCAAUUUGUACAGAAUAGUUAGAAUAUUCUAUUAAAGUUGUGAAACAAAGCG